AAAGGUUUCUGCCACUACCUUCCUAGACUCAUCUAAGUGGAUGGACUCCAGGGGAUGGAGAAUGGAAGGCAGCAGAUGUUUGUUGACUUCUUGCUCUAUAUCGGGCACUGUGCUAGAUACCAUACACGCCAUCAACAUUUAGGACAGUAUGACAAAGGAGAAUGAAAGCUGUCUCUUGUAGAUAGGAUAUUUUCAGCCGUCAUCACCAUGGACUCUUUGAAAUGUACUACUUCAGAAAAGCCACAGUGACUCCCUCUGGGCCUCACCCACCUGAGAUGACAUCACGACGCAAAUCUAGGACUUACGCUCUUCAUACGGAUGGAAUGGUUGGUUCACUUGGCUUUCAGAGUGCAGACAAGCCAUUCAGUGGAGGGCAUGCCUCAGCCUGCACUCUUCUGACUCAUGACAUGACUUCUCCAUGGAGAGCCAGGAUUUUUCUCAAGUGUAACAAUAUUAAUUAUCAAGUCACUUUAAAACA
rnacentral:lncRNA from 1 species